rnacentral:rRNA from 1 species
GACGAACGCUGGCGGCGUGCCUAAUACAUGCAAGUAGAACGCUGAAGGAGGAGCUUGCUUCUCUGGAUGAGUUGCGAACGGGUGAGUAACGCGUAGGUAACCUGCCUGGUAGCGGGGGAUAACUAUUGGAAACGAUAGCUAAUACCGCAUAAUAGCAGUUGUUGCAUGACAUCUGUUUGAAAGGUGCAAUUGCACCACUACCAGAUGGACCUGCGUUGUAUUAGCUAGUUGGUGGGGUAACGGCUCACCAAGGCGACGAUACAUAGCCGACCUGAGAGGGUGAUCGGCCACACUGGGAAUGAGACACGGCCCAGACUCCUACGGGAGGCAGCAGUAGGGAAUCUUCGGCAAUGGACGGAAGUCUGACCGAGCAACGCCGCGUGAGUGAAGAAGGUUUUCGGAUCGUAAAGCUCUGUUGUAAGAGAAGAACGAGUGUGAGAGUGGAAAGUUCACACUGUGACGGUAUCUUACCAGAAAGGGACGGCUAACUACGUG